AUCCAGCUGAUGAGUCUCAACUGGGAGGAAACACACGUCCUGGAU
rnacentral:hammerhead_ribozyme from 1 species